GUGAACGCUGGCGGUAGGCCUAACACAUGCAAGUCGAACGGCAGCACAGUAAGAGCUUGCUCUUACGGGUGGCGAGUGGCGGACGGGUGAGGAAUACAUCGGUAUCUACUUUUUCGUGGGGGAUAACGUAAGGAAACUUACGCUAAUACCGCAUACGACCUACGGGUGAAAGCAGGGGAUCUUCGGACCUUGCGCGAUUGAAUGAGCCGAUGUCGGAUUAGCUAGUUGGCGGGGUAAAGGCCCACCAAGGCGACGAUCCGUAGCUGGUCUGAGAGGAUGAUCAGCCACACUGGAACUGAGACACGGUCCAGACUCCUACGGGAGGCAGCAGUGGGGAAUAUUGGACAAUGGGCGCAAGCCUGAUCCAGCCAUACCGCGUGGGUGAAGAAGGCCUUCGGGUUGUAAAGCCCUUUUGUUGGGAAAGAAAAGCAGCAGGUUAAUACCCCGCUGUUCUGACGGUACCCAAAGAAUAAGCACCGGCUAACUUCGUG
rnacentral:rRNA from 1 species